GCAUUGAUCCAUGCUCCACUUCUUAUUAUAUAAUAUGUAGUAACUCUGCAGAUAAAUAACUUAAACAAAAGCUAUUUUAAUAUAUAAAUGGGUUUACUUUACGUUAAAUCAUGUCACAAUCAAAUAGCAGAUGAUUAGCUCCCCUUAACCAACUUGAUUAAUUUGACCUACUGAACUUUUAUUUUAAAACAUCAGGAUCUUCAGAAGCUCAUGCUCUGAUAACUGGAGUGAUUGCAGCACUGAGUGUCACAUUUCUGCUCAUUUUCUUUCUGGCCUUGCUGUGGUGCUGCAAACACAACAAAGGUGCAGGAUCUCCGUCUUUCUCUACUGACCAUCAGCCACAAAAAAUCCGACAGACAUCAGAACAGAAGAAGAGUGGACAAACACCACUGCAGUCCGAUACCAUAUAUGGACCUUCUGAUGUGACCUACGUAAAGAUUGACCUGAAAUCAUUGAAUGAAAUUAAGAAGAAAAAGAAAGAAAACAAAGGAAAGGAGAGUUCUGACACGGUUUACUCCAAACUGAAGAUUUAAGGUGAAGUAUACUAAAAACAAUGCAAAAUAUCAUAAUAUAAGGCAGUUACAUGUUUUAUACUUGUGAAUUAAUUUGUAUAAUUUCAGGUUCUGUUGCUGGAUCUAUAUGAUGAAUACUCAAUUUUUAUCAACAAUGGAAUUCAAAAAUGUAUCAAAUGUUGGUGACUUGGAUAUAUUAUCCUAAUUCUUAAUCGAAUUGUUUAAAUUAUUCACCAUAACAUGCAUACAUUCAUAAUCCAUGAUAUUUUAAAACUAGAUUUGUGUCAGCACAACACACAAUCCUUCUAACCGCUGAUACACUGGGUGCAUAAGCAUUCAUCUUACAUAACUGUUACAUUACUAAUAUGUCUAACAAAAUAUUAAACAUUAUAAGAAAAUAUGUCAUGGUCUAUGUUCAUGUAUUGAUCUUUCCUCUCAUUGUCCACUAGAUGUCAUCAUAGAGACGAUUUGGUAGUUUCAUCCAUAUUUUACUGUGUGCUAGUUUUUGAUCAUCUUAUUUUGGUAUUUACUGCGUGUUUGUCCUCUUACUUUCAUACCUGCACUGUUUGUACUUUAAUCAUGUAUGUUAAUAAAAUGUAUUUUCCAAA